AUUACGGUUUGCUAGGCGUUAGGUGUUAGGCAUAGGGCGAUAGGCGGCGCGGCUAACCAUUCUCUUCCAGGUACAAACUAACCUUCUCUUCCAGGUACAUGUUAAUUAUCUAGUCUUCCCCAGUAAUGCCCUGGUUAGCGCACCGUGGCGGCGAUCCAGGAGCCUCGUGCUGGUGGCGGUGGUGGUGGCGUGGCUGGCUGGCUGGCGGGCGUGCACGUGCUAUCAUAUGGGUUGCGUGGUAGGUGCGUUCACUGGUCUGGGCUGUGUUGGUGCGUGUUCUGAAGAGAUGACCGCAGACACGCUGGCAGCUGAUGACUAGACCCGCACAGAGGCAGUGUACUGUACAAGCUGGAUGGAAGUAUGCAAACCUCGCAAUGAAGAUGGAAAAGGUCCACAGAAAACGACACGCCAAUUUAUUUGAAGUCAAGGACGGAGAUUAAACCGGCCUUGAAAAACACCAUACCCGUUUUGUCCACCGCCAUCACCACCUUCUCCCAGAUCAAGGACAAAGUGUAUUACAGACUCACACAUAAGGAAGAGGUGCAUGCCAUGAGGGAGGCGGUGGAGGUGUGGGGGGUUCAGCACACCAUCACAGACAACCUGCAGUUCAUGCUUGGGAUGGGACACACUGGGACAGCCUCGGACAUUCUUUGUAUAUUAGGUCCUUUAGUUCUGGCACCAUCUUUUUAGCAAUCUUCUGUAUCCGUUCUAAUCUUCUUAUAUCCUUUUCAGAACUC